CAGUGCCUUUCCCAUUCUGAAGGACGGAUCCACACAAUUCUGGACCUCAUUCUGGACCCACUGAUGUUUAACUGAAGCCUGCACCAGCACAGAAACCUGCCUCUGGACAUCUUCUACAAGAUGCCAUGGGCACCAUCCCUGAGGAAUCGGUACAAAGAACAGAGAUAAUGAUUCGCUUAAAGGUUAAAAACUGUGCCGGUGUAAAAACUACAUUUGUCCAUAUUUUAGGACUACACCGAGACGUCGAUGACCCCCUCUUGCUCCAGGACCCAGCUGAAGAAUGAAGACAAAGACGUCAUCCACUGUUUAGAUGUAAGUCAAUCUGUGCGAGUAAUCUGCUCGUUUCAGUCAAAGUUGUGAGGUAAUAAAUUGAUGUAAACAGUCCAGUAACUAGAUCUGAUCCCUGUCUGUCUGCCCUCUGUAGCCCCCACCCUACAGAUGGACUUCCUGCCUCACUGUGAACCUGUAGACCUUCAACCUCGUCUAGGAAGCGCCUUGUUCAGGCCAUGGUGAGUGCGCCUUUCUCUUUUCACUGCCAAGGAGCACAUAUCAGCAGCAGUUUUUCUAAAUCCUUUCAACAGAUGAGUCCAUAAAGAUGAUGAUAGUUUGAUGUUUUUACUCUGUGGGCACAAAUAACCCCCACAGCCCACAGAGAGUGCAGGCUUUGCUAUGUUACUGUCACUUUAUAGAUCUCCUUCACCUUUAUAUCACUCUUAUAAUCAGUAUUCUAGUAUAUAUGAGACCUUUUCUGACUAAUAGAAAAACUAAAGAAAACGAGGCAGAAUAUUCACUCAUGACAGUUUUCUUCAUUUACAGGUGGAUACUUCAACUUAGUUAAAUGGAGGCUCAAACUGCGACCACAUGCCUUCCUGCACCAGUCAUGGGAACCGUAGAGAGCUUUUUGUCCACUGGGGUUUUUUCUGAAGAUUUUUCCCCAGCUGGUUUUUCAUCUCUACCUCCACCAAACUCACUCUGUACACACAGCUGUGUUAUUUUUUUAAACUGAUAAUAAAACAAACCUAGUUUAAUAUAAUUAUUCAUUUGUUUGACCGGAUGAUGUGUUAAACUUGCAAAAAAUUGAGUUUCUUUUGUGCAAACCUGCAAGAUCAAUAGUUGAGUUUUCUUACAUCAAAGUUGUAACCUAAUGAUAUUUGUGUCUGUUGAAUUUGUGCUUUAGAUUCCAUUUCUCAUAAUUAUUGUGUUUAACUUAGUGUUUAAUCUGAGUUUGAUUUGUGGCUUAAACUUUGUUCAGUAGAGGCUAAAACUGCGACCACAUGCCUUCCUGCACCAGUCAUAGACACCGUAGAGAGCUUUUUUCCACUGGGGUUUUUUCUCAAGAUUUUUCCCCAGCUGGUUUUUCAUCUCUACCUCUCUUAAUGUCAUCUUUUGGGAUGCAUGUAUUCCAUUUUGCUCAUAUUGCUUUAAUUAUUUUAUUAUUUAUUUAUUUUUAUUAUUUUAUUUUAUUAUUGAUUUUGUUCGUAUUUCUGUA